GUUUGUCAUAACCUCGGUUCACUAUUUGAAUUUCCUUUGUUUGCAAGACAAACAUGCAUUCAUGUAAGGGUUAUACAUAUAGCUUAAAAGCAUAAUGCAAUACCCUUCCCCUCUCACUCUCUCUCUCUCUUUUUCUUCAUCUGUCUCUCUCUAUGUCUCUCUCUCUCUCUCAUGCCUUCUCUUGAUAAGAAACCCUGGGUGCCUGUCUGGCCACAGUGACCCAGCAUCUACUUGUUAAUGACCGCAAGCUUAUCAUCAUUUCUCUCUCUCACUCUCUCCCUGUAGCUUCAGGUACUUCUGAAAAUUAUUUCAAUGCAUUCUGGAUUGUGUCUGUGUGUGUCCGUGCGUGUGUGUGUGUGUGUGUGUGUGUGUACAUCCUUGUUUGUUUAUGUAUGCGUGUGAGACAAAGUGGGCUGAGGUUGGGUUGACAGAGCCAGGCCCCUGGGACAUACAGACUUUGUGGGAAUGCUACAUUCAGUAAGGGGAGGCCAUGCAAAGAUAGAGAAAAACAUCCUUCAGAGGACAGCCUUCUACACUUUACACUCACCAAAAUCCCAGGAAAAAAGGGAAGGGGAGAGUGGCAAAGGAGGGAGUAAUACUAAAAUGCCCUCCCCUGGGCAUCUGGUUGAGGCCUGAGAGAAAAUUACAGUUGGGGAUGGUGGCUGCUCAGAGCAGAAGGAGGCCAGGGCCCUCACCCCGGGUCUGACAGGCAAACUCGCUCAUCGGCGCAAAGCCAAGGGAGGGACCCUCCACUCAGAAUCUCCAAAGCACUUUAUAAGGAAAGAGAAAGAGGAAAAAACCCCACAGAGGCACUAUUUAUAGACCACAUUUAUCAUGCUUCUUAUUCCUGCUGCUGUUACGAAUCUCAGGGAAGUCACUUCACAGGAGCCCAUAGUGGGGACGAGGAGGAUGAAAGUGAUACUAAACCGUGAGGCUCUCUGUGUAUUGAAGAGAGCAUGUUUGUUGAUAAGUGAUUAUCAUUACUGGCAUCAUCUUUAGGCCCUGGAUGAAGGACUGCAUGUGAUCUGUCUUAUCGGUGUCCUGCAGGGACGAAUGGUUUAUCAGCGUUUUCAGAAGGACGGGACCUCCACUUUGUCACAGAGAGAGAGAGCAGCCCAUUCGUUCAGCACUGUGUGCCCCAGAGAGAGCAGCUCACAUAGGCUCCCCCGGAAAGGGGACAGCAUGGGCUGAACACAGUCCCAAAAAGAGCAGCUCACACUGUUGGGACAGGCUCUUACAGAAAGAAAAUGAAGCCCACAGUCUGCAUGGUUCAUCAAAGAAAAAUAACAACUCACACCGAGCAGCUGAAAGUAUCCUACUGAUGAGCAGCUGUGAUUUUUAGCAGUUUCCUACAAUGUGAGAGAAGAUCACACAUCCUGUAGUUAUUUACAGAAAGAGAGCAGUUCGCACAGUCUUUACCAUCUGGCACACAGAAAGAGCAGCUUACAAAGGUGUCACAGAAGACACAUUGUGAUACUUGAUAAUCUUUCUCAGGGCACAACAGAUAUACACGAUAGUUACCUGAUCUUAAGUCACAAUUCAUUUGUUGUAAGUUAUGAUAGGAAAAUUAAAUGCCCUGUGACUUCCCUCCAUUUGUUUAUCCAGUGACUUACUCUUCCACUUUGCAUUUUCAGUCUCCUUGGCAACUGGUGUGUAUGUGUGUGUCCUCCCCCUCGUCUGUAGAUGUUUGUUACGGCAAACUGAACUGUGUAUGUGUGUAUGUGCGUGUGUGCGCAUGUGCAUGCGCUUGUGUAAGCUUGAAGAGGACCGAUCAGAUGUUCACAAUUUAAAAUAUGUGAAAAAGUGUUUUGGAUGCUGGGAGAGCUAUCAUUACAGCAACAGUAAGUUAAAAAUCAUAGUCAAUUUAUCAGAGCUGGCUUCACACCACCACUAUUCAUUACGCUGUGCUUCAUCUGUGGUGCCAUGGCCACGUUUCUGUAUCACACGUCUCAUUCUCCCCAUCCACACCACCCAACCAUUCACCAGACAUGAGUCUGAAAUAUCCAUGAGCUGAGCAUGAGUUGUCUUGGUGCACCAAUGCUGCAUUAUGAAAAUCUUCUCAGAACCCCUUACCACAAGCGGCCAUUAGUUUGCCUCUUGAAAAUGUCAUGAGGUGCAGACUGUGUGUGAACAUGUGUGUAUGUGUGUGUGCGUGUGUGUGUGUGUGUCUGCACCCCAUUCUUUGCAUGCCUAUGCAAAGUAUGUACAGAUAGUUCCUUACAUAUACUUGACUUGGAGACAUUUUUACAGAAAAGACCUUAUCACCCAUCUUUCCACAAAGGAAAGGGUCGGAAGUCUCCAGAAACCCCUCUGAAAAAUGUCAUUUCCAUUUGCAUGCCCUUGCAAAUCCGUUCCAACCACCAGGCAAAUGACAUGCAAAUGACAGAGAGAGUGUGUGUAAGCCAGCAGGAGGGAACAGAACAGAGGACGAAUCUCAGAAUAUCAAUUUCUCCUAGCAGACGAGCAAUUCUUGGAAUCACAAACUAUGACAUCACAAUGGAGUUGAACACUGGUGGCUGAGACAAUGGCCUCCAGUUUGGAGGAAGGCCUGGACUUGACCUGCACAGAGGGUCCUCACAGUUGUGCUAACAAAGGGCCAGCGCAGCCUCUGAAUGGCUGCUUUUACACCUCCCACUCCCUGUCUCCGCUGGCAGCCCGGCCCGGGCAGUGGAACGCGGAGUGGGAGGUGGAGGAGGAGACCACGCGGUAAGGGACGACUCUCUCGUCUGGAAAACAAAGGGCAGGCGCUGAUGGCUGGCUGCUCCAUACUGGCCCACAGUUACCACUUUACUGACCUUCCUGGCACUUACAAUCUGUAUUCACCCAACCCCCCCUCCUCUAUCCCCAGUCCCUUUACUCUACUGGCUGCCUUGCCUAUCUAUAAAACCUCCAUUAAACCAACAGGUCUGACGUGUGCUAUGGCUGUGCCAAGCCAGUUCCUCUAGCAGUGUCACCCCCUGCAAAUGCUCAUAAAUGUUUACUGUGCUCACAGAGAUGGUAACAACUCUGUGCAAGGUUGAGAGAUAGACGUCAGAGCAAGGCCAAUGAAUGUCUAAAAAGAAAGAGAUUUUAAGAAUAGAGGCAGAGGUCACAUUAUUUUGAGAACUGACUACAAAUUAUGACACACCUGCCCAGAAAGAUGAGACAGGUGCACACGCAGAGCAGAGAAACAUGAAACUAUUCAAACAGAUCGCCAGCGAGCUCCAGAUGAAGAUGAGAGCUCUGAAUAAAUGCAGGGGGAUGUGUACCAUACCUGAGUCUCAUUAAACCAAUCUGAGCAAACACUGUAGAGAUGGUCAGCAGUAUCUAUUACUGCACUCACUCAGGUAAUCCUUUUAGAGAGUCACGCUAUUAGAGCUCCAUAUGUUUUGAAUUCAAAGCCCCUAAUUGUCAUGAACAACAGACCCCAUGUUUUCAUAUGCCAUUGAUCAACAAGCUGACACUUCUCCAUGUAGCUGUAGUCCCCAGCCCUCCUCUGUAAACCUCUAACCAUGUGACCAUACAAUGUUGCGUUUCUGUGUGGCUCUGUGUGCUGUAUAUCAGGGGGAUACCUUAUCCAUUACCCAGCACUUGUAGCUUUAAAAAACUAUGUAUGUUGUGCAGUAUGUGAAAUGACAGCCAAGAGGACCAAACUGAUGGCAGAACUGUGUGGGUCAGGGGUUUGUGUGUGUAAGUCUAUGUCUAUGUAUUUUCUAGAAGCCUAAUACCCUCCCUCAAUGACCCCACUUUCUCUGUCUUUCUGUCUGCUUUCUGUCCCUUUCCUGUAUAUGCCCUUUUUCCUCCCACACUCUUACAUCUGUCCUUUUCUCUCCCACAUUCAUAUGUACUUUUCCCCUCUUCCUAUUUCUCCUAAUCCCCAUCGGCACCUCCCCUUCCCACCAGCGAGGUUUGAGGUGUGUCUGUACUAUAGAGGGCUAUGCUGGAGGAGACAGGUUGGGUCCCCAGCUGCCUAGGGGAUUUUUGUGAUGCAGCUCUAUAAUUACCCCCUCUGCUGGGUCACCAUGGGGGAGGAACAGAGUACCUGUAAAUAGGCGGAGUCACCCAGAAGAGAGCUGGGCCACUGGGAGAAGCACUGCCGUUAACCUUGGCUGGUGCGGGCCAGUUUUCUGGAGGCCAUGAUUAAAGUGAGAGAGGACAGUGAAGUGUGCAAUGAGAAACUCCACCCCCAGAGGAAGUAAGUCCUUUUCAUGUGCACAGCCACGGUAGAGUUUACGGAGGAUAAUCUCUCAUUAGGGAAAUUACACGUAUGAUUGCCAGGGUCAAAUACAAAAAACAAAAACAAAAACGUUUUUUUGUGUAUUAUAUUCUUUAGCCUGUAAACUGUUUUU